CCUGGACCGCAAGCACCGUCUGCUCCGGUACAACCAUCUGCGUGCACUCACUCGGCCGCUGACCAGCUUCAUCAUUCAGCUGGAAGAAGCGAAGCCUCCGCAAAGGAUGACCGCCGAGCGCAGCGACAGCAGCGGCAUCGUGAUCAACACCGUCCGCACCUGCUGCGCCUUCAACGGGAGCCGCUGCGUGAGACCCUGCCAGAACGCGCUGGCGCGGCUCCAGCUGAGCGACCAGACUGCCGGC
rnacentral:lncRNA from 1 species